UUGUGUUUUGGUGUCUAAUAAAUUCCUACACAUCGCAUUAUGCCCAUGAUGGUUUUCUGGCUUUUUCAUUUUUUUUUUAUGUAUAAUUUAAUGGACAUGUUAUAUAGGUAAUUCAAUCUCAAACUGUGGUUUCUAGAGGGAAUUAAGUUGAGAACUUUUAUUUCAAGGAAAAAUAGGAGUUGAGUUUUUUUCUGGGGAUAUAUAUAUCAAGGUCAGAUUUCGA
rnacentral:lncRNA from 1 species